CCUACGGGCGGCUGCAGUGAGGAAUAUUGGUCAAUGGGCGAGAGCCUGAACCAGCCAAGUCGCGUGCAGGAUGACGGCCCUACGGGUUGUAAACUUCUUUUGUCCGGGAGCAAUUGGGUCCACGCGUGGUCUUAGCUAGAGUACCCGUAGAUAAAGCAUGGGCUAACUCCUUGCCAGCAGCCGCGGUAAUACGGAGGACGGGAGCGUUUUCCGGAUUUAUUGGUUUUAAGGGGUGCGUAGCCGGAAUAUCAAGUUAGCGGUAAAAGUUCGGGCAUCAACCCCGUCGUGCCGUGGAAACUGAUGUGCUUGAGUGCGCGGAAGGCAGGCGGAAUUCGUGGUGGAGCGGUGAAAUGCUUAGAUAUCACGAAGAACUCCGAUUGCGAAGGCAGCUUACUAAACUGCCACUGACAUUGAUGCUCGAAAGUGUGGGUAUCAAACAGGAUUAGAUACCCUAGUAGUC
rnacentral:rRNA from 1 species